UUUCCGUAGGUGAACCUGCGGAAGGAUCAUUAUUGUAUAACCGAGGUGCGAGGGCUGUCGCUGACCCGAAAGGUCGUGCACGCCCGAGUGCCCUCACACACAUCCAACUCACCCCUAUGUGCACCACCGCGUGGGUCCCCCUUUGGCUUGUUCGGAGGGGGGCUUACGUUUUCACACAGACUUUGUAUGCAGUGUAGAAUGUAUUUUUUGUUUUUGCGAUCACGCAAUCAAUACAACUUUCAACAACGGAUCUCUUGGCUCUC
rnacentral:misc_RNA from 1 species